GGGCUGGGGCUCAGCGGUAGAGCGCGCGCCACGCACGCGCAAGGCCCUGGGUUCAAGCCUCGGCAUCACG
rnacentral:tRNA from 1 species